rnacentral:lncRNA from 1 species
GCCAGAUUUUCCAGCACCAUUUACUGAACGGAGUUUCACUUCUCCAAUUUAUGUUUUUGUAUGCUUUGUAGCAGUUUAGUUGGCUGUAAUUAUUUGGUUUUAUUUCUGGAUUCUGGGUUCUCCAUUCUGUUCCGUUGGUCUAAGUGCCUGUUUUCAUACCAGUACCAUGCUGUUUUGUUUUCUUUUUUUGAAAUGUCUUUUCCUGGUAUUGGUAUUAAGGUGACACUGGCUUCAUAGAAUGAUUUAGGGAGGAUUCCUUCCUUUCUCUGUCUUUUG